UACAGAGGUCUCAAGCGUUGUUCGGAUUCAUUGGGCGUAAAGGGUGCGUAGGCGGUGGGGCAAGUCAGGUGUGAAAUCCCGGAGCUCAACUCCGGAACUGCACUUGAUACUGCUUUACUAGAGUACUGGAGAGGAGACUGGAAUUUACGGUGUAGCAGUGAAAUGCGUAGAUAUCGUAAGGAAGACCAGUGGCGAAGGCGAGUCUCUGGACAGUUACUGACGCUGAGGCACGAAGGCCAGGAGAGCAAACGGG
rnacentral:rRNA from 1 species